rnacentral:rRNA from 1 species
AUUGAACGCUGGCGGCAGGCCUAACACAUGCAAGUCGAGCGGCUCGGCGGACGGGUAAGUGAUGCCUAGGACUCUGCCUCUUCGUGGGGGAUAACGUCCGGAACCGGGCGCUAAUACUGCAUACUCUCAGCUGAGCCUAGGUGGUAUUCGCUGGUUGGUGGGGUAAAGGCCUACCAAGGCGACGAUCCGUAACUGGUCUGAGAGGAUGAUCAGUCACACUGGAACUGAGACACUGUCCAGACUCCUACGGGAGGCAGCAGUGGGGAAUAUUGGACAAUGGGCGAAAGCCUGAUCAAGCCAUGCCGCGUGUGUGAAGAAGGUCUUCGGGUUGUAAAGCACUUUAAGUGGGGAGGCGUUACCAGCAGAAGAAGCACCGGCUAACUUCGUGCCAGCCGCCGCGGUAAUAC